rnacentral:rRNA from 1 species
AUGUUUGUAAGUGUGUAAGAGCGUACGGUGGAUGCCUUGGCACCAGGAGCCGAUGAAGGACGUAGGAGGCUGCGAUAAGCCUCGGGGAGCUGUCAACCGAGCUGUGAUCCGAGGGUGUCCGAAUGGGGAAACCCAGCACGAGUGAUGUCGUGUUACCCGCAUCUGAAUAUAUAGGGUGUGUGGAGGGAACGUAGGGAAGUGAAACAUCUCAGUACCUACAGGAAGAGAAAACAACAUGUGAUUCCGUGAGUAGUGGCGAGCGAAAGCGGAUGAGGCUAAACCAUGGAUGUGUGAUAGCCGGCGGGCGUUGCAUUCGUGGGGUUGUGGGAUCCAUUGUGUCAAUUCUGCCGGGUUGGCCAACAGUGAGAAAUCGUUGUGUUAGGCGAAGUGGUCUGGAACGGCCUGUCGUAGAGGGUGAGAAUCCCGUAGCCGAAAAUGUGACGACUGUUGAUAUGGACACCCAAGUAGCAGCGGGCCCGUGAAAUCUGCUGUGAAUCUGUCGGGACCACCCGAUAAGCCUGAAUACUCCCUGGUGACCGAUAGCGGACUAGUACCGUGAGGGAAAGGUGAAAAGUACCCCGGGAGGGGAGUGAAAUAGUACCUGAAACCGUGCGCUUACAAUCCGUCAAAGCUGAUGCGUCAUUUAGUUGGCGGUUGGUGAUGGCGUGCCUUUUGAAGAAUGAGCCUGCGAGUUAGUGCUCGGUGGCGAGGUUAACCCGUGUGGGGUAGCCGUAGCGAAAGCGAGUCCGAAUAGGGCGACAGAGUCGCCGGGUCUAGACCCGAAGCGGAGUGAUCUACCCAUGGCCAGGUUGAAGCGACGGUAAGACGUCGUGGAGGACCGAACCCACUUCAGUUGAAAAUGGAGGGGAUGAGCUGUGGGUAGGGGUGAAAGGCCAAUCAAACUCCGUGAUAGCUGGUUCUCCCCGAAAUGCAUUUAGGUGCAGCGUCGCAUGUUUCUCGCUGGAGGUAGAGCUACUGGAUGGCCGAUGGGCCCUACAAGGUUACUGACGUCAGCCAAACUCCGAAUGCCAGUGAGUGAGAGUGCGGCAGUGAGACUGCGGGCGAUAAGGUUCGUAGUCGAGAGGGAAACAGCCCAGAUCGCCGGCUAAGGCCCCUAAGCGUGUACUAAGUGGAAAAGGAUGUGGGGUCGCGAAGACAACCAGGAGGUUGGCUUAGAAGCAGCCACCCUUGAAAGAGUGCGUAAUAGCUCACUGGUCAAGUGAUCCUGCGCCGACAAUGUAGCGGGGCUCAAGUACACCGCCGAAGCCGCGGCACUCACGCAAUAGCCCGUCUCAUCCCUGCGGGGGUGGGACUAGGUGUGUGGGUGGGUAGGGGAGCGUCCUGCAUCCAUGGAAGCAUCGGAGUGAUCCAGGUGUGGAGGGUGUGGGAGUGAGAAUGCAGGCAUGAGUAGCGAAAGCGAAGUGAGAAACUUCGCCGCCGAAUGACCAAGGGUUCCUGGGCCAGGCUAAUCCGCCCAGGGUGAGUCGGGACCUAAGGCGAGGCCGACAGGCGUAGUCGAUGGACAACGGGUUGAUAUUCCCGUACCCGUGUAGUCGCGUCCGUGAUGAAUCAGCAGUACUAACCAUCCUGAAGAUCAAGGGUUACCUUCGGGUUUCGUUUGGUUGGAUGCAUGGGACCUUUGCUGGUAGUAGUCAAGCGAUGGGGUGACGCAGGAAGGUAGUGGGGCCAGUCAGUGGUUGUACUGGUGUAAGCCUGUAGGGAGAGACAUAGGCAAAUCCGUGUCUCACAUAUCCUGAGAGGUGAUGCGUAGCCGAAUGAGGCGAAUUCCAUGAUCCUAUGCUGCCGAGAAAAGCCUCUAGCGAGUGGCGACACGGCCCGUACCCCAAACCAACACAGGUGGUCAGGUAGAGAAUACUAAGGCGAUCGAGAGAACUGUGGUUAAGGAACUCGGCAAAAUGCCCCCGUAACUUCGGGAGAAGGGGGACCACGUCUGGUGAUCAACUUUUCGUUGUGAGCUGGGUGUGGUCGCAGAGACCAGAGAGAAGCGACUGUUUACUAAAAACACAGGUCCGUGCGAAGUCGUAAGACGAUGUAUACGGACUGACGCCUGCCCGGUGCUGGAAGGUUAAGAGGACCGGUUAACACUUCGGUGUGAAGCUGAGAAUUUAAGCCCCAGUAAACGGCGGUGGUAACUAUAACCAUCCUAAGGUAGCGAAAUUCCUUGUCGGGUAAGUUCCGACCUGCACGAAUGGCGUAACGACUUCUCUGCUGUCUCAACCACAGACUCGGCGAAAUUGCAUUACGAGUAAAGAUGCUCGUUACGCGCGGCAGGACGAAAAGACCCCGGGACCUUCACUAUAGCUUGGUAUUGGUGUUCGGUUCGGUUUGUGUAGGAUAGGUGGGAGACUGUGAAGCAUGCACGCCAGUGUGUGUGGAGUCGUUGUUGAAAUACCACUCUGAUCGUAUUGGAUAUCUAACCUCGGACCAUGAUCUGGUUCAGGGACAGUGCCUGGUGGGUAGUUUAACUGGGGCGGUUGCCUCCUAAAAUGUAACGGAGGCGCCCAAAGGUUCCCUCAGCCUGGUUGGCAAUCAGGUGUUGAGUGUAAGUGCACAAGGGAGCUUGACUGUGAGACGUACAUGUCGAGCAGGGACGAAAGUCGGGACUAGUGAUCCGGCACCGGCAAGUGGAAGCGGUGUCGCUCAACGGAUAAAAGGUACCCCGGGGAUAACAGGCUGAUCUUCCCCAAGAGUCCAUAUCGACGGGAUGGUUUGGCACCUCGAUGUCGGCUCGUCGCAUCCUGGGGCUGGAGUAGGUCCCAAGGGUUGGGCUGUUCGCCCAUUAAAGCGGCACGCGAGCUGGGUUUAGAACGUCGUGAGACAGUUCGGUCUCUAUCCGCCGCGCGCGUAAGAAACUUGAGGAAACCUGUCCCUAGUACGAGAGGACCGGGACGGACGAACCUCUGGUGUGCCAGUUGUCCUACCAAGGGCACCGCUGGUUAGCUACGUUCGGAAGGGAUAACCGCUGAAAGCAUCUAAGCGGGAAGCCUGUUCCAAGAUGAGGUUUCUCACCCUCUUAGCAGGGGUAAGGCCCCCCACAGACCAUGGGGUAGAUAGGCCAGAACUGGAAGCCCGGUAACGGGUGCAGGUGACUGGUACUAAUCGGCCGAGGACUUACAAC